rnacentral:rRNA from 1 species
ACUUAAAUUGAAGAGUUUGAUCAUGGCUCAGAUUGAACGCUGGCGGCAGGCCUAACACAUGCAAGUCGAGCGGUAGCACAGAGAGCUUGCUCUCGGGUGACGAGCGGCGGACGGGUGAGUAAUGUCUGGGAAACUGCCUGAUGGAGGGGGAUAACUACUGGAAACGGUAGCUAAUACCGCAUAAUGUCGCAAGACCAAAGUGGGGGACCUUCGGGCCUCAUGCCAUCAGAUGUGCCCAGAUGGGAUUAGCUAGUAGGUGGGGUAACGGCUCACCUAGGCGACGAUCCCUAGCUGGUCUGAGAGGAUGACCAGCCACACUGGAACUGAGACACGGUCCAGACUCCUACGGGAGGCAGCAGUGGGGAAUAUUGCACAAUGGGCGCAAGCCUGAUGCAGCCAUGCCGCGUGUGUGAAGAAGGCCUUCGGGUUGUAAAGCACUUUCAGCGGGGAGGAAGGCGGUGAGGUUAAUAACCUCAUCGAUUGACGCUACCCGCAGAAGAAGCACCGGCUAACUCCGUGCCAGCAGCCGCGGUAAUACGGAGGGUGCAAGCGUUAAUCGGAAUUACUGGGCGUAAAGCGCACGCAGGCGGUCUGUCAAGUCGGAUGUGAAAUCCCCGGGCUUAACCUGGGAACUGCAUUCGAAACUGGCAGGCUAGAGUCUUGUAGAGGGGGGUAGAAUUCCAGGUGUAGCGGUGAAAUGCGUAGAGAUCUGGAGGAAUACCGGUGGCGAAGGCGGCCCCCUGGACAAAGACUGACGCUCAGGUGCGAAAGCGUGGGGAGCAAACAGGAUUAGAUACCCUGGUAGUCCACGCCGUAAACGAUGUCGAUUUGGAGGUUGUGCCCUUGAGGCGUGGCUUCCGGAGCUAACGCGUUAAAUCGACCGCCUGGGGAGUACGGCCGCAAGGUUAAAACUCAAAUGAAUUGACGGGGGCCCGCACAAGCGGUGGAGCAUGUGGUUUAAUUCGAUGCAACGCGAAGAACCUUACCUGGUCUUGACAUCCACAGAACUUUCCAGAGAUGGAUUGGUGCCUUCGGGAACUGUGAGACAGGUGCUGCAUGGCUGUCGUCAGCUCGUGUUGUGAAAUGUUGGGUUAAGUCCCGCAACGAGCGCAACCCUUAUCCUUUGUUGCCAGCGGUCCGGCCGGGAACUCAAAGGAGACUGCCAGUGAUAAACUGGAGGAAGGUGGGGAUGACGUCAAGUCAUCAUGGCCCUUACGACCAGGGCUACACACGUGCUACAAUGGCAUAUACAAAGAGAAGCGACCUCGCGAGAGCAAGCGGACCUCAUAAAGUAUGUCGUAGUCCGGAUUGGAGUCUGCAACUCGACUCCAUGAAGUCGGAAUCGCUAGUAAUCGUAGAUCAGAAUGCUACGGUGAAUACGUUCCCGGGCCUUGUACACACCGCCCGUCACACCAUGGGAGUGGGUUGCAAAAGAAGUAGGUAGCUUAACCUUCGGGAGGGCGCUUACCACUUUGUGAUUCAUGACUGGGGUGAAGUCGUAACAAGGUAACCGUAGGGGAACCUGCGGUUGGAUCACCUCCUUACCUUAAAGAA